rnacentral:rRNA from 1 species
AACCGCGAGGUUAAGCCAAUCCCACAAAUCUGUUCUCAGUUCGGAUCGCAGUCUGCAACUCGACUGCGUGAAGCUGGAAUCGCUAGUAAUCGCGGAUCAGCAUGCCGCGGUGAAUACGUUCCCGGGCCUUGUACACACCGCCCGUCACACCACGAGAGUUUGUAACACCCGAAGUCGGUGAGGUAACCUUUUAGGAGCCAGCCGCCGAAGGUGGGACAGAUGAUUGGGGUGAAGUCGUAACAAGGUAGCCGUAUCGGAAGGUGCGGCUGGAUCACCUCCUUUCUAAGGA